CAGUACUAUGAUAUGUUUCACGGUCUGGGAAAUCUCGCGUGAGAAGAACGAGGACAAACUGGCGUAUUUGACAUUACUAUCACAAGAUGGUCCGAGCAGGAAACUAUCCGAAGAUCUGAAACAAACAAAACAAAACGUGGAAGGGAAAACUCAGAGAAAUCAUUAGAAACUAUAGCGCCAGAGAGUCAGGGGUCUUCGUUUCGGGUGUUGUAGUUAAGGAAUGUAACGGACGCUUGUGUACCUGGACAUACCAGGCCUCCAUACAACACACCAGGACAUGGAUUUGAAGGGUGGUGACGAAAAGGGCUACAGAUCGAGGUCAGUUUGAUAACUCUGGCCGGGAUUCGCUGAGGUUGGGCUCAAGAAACGAAACGAACUCAUUCUGCGGAAGAGCUUCGCAAGCUCCAGUCA